UUGGUGGAUAGCAGAGGGGAAGAAAGGAGAAAAAGAAGAAGAAAGAGUGCAACUGUACUUGGAGCUGCAAUUUUGGGGCUGCCUACACCUACGAUGGUGGAACCUGAGCUGGAGUGAGUCCAAACUCAGUAAAGGUUGUGAGGCUAUGUCUGUGUGACAUCAUAUGGAGGACUGAGAUUUUCUUUGCUUUUGAGAUUUUAUUAUGGUGUUUGUAACGUAUAGUUAAUUAUGGUAAUUGUGAGUUGUAAUCAAAUUGGGUUUAUAAUUAUUAUUUAUCAUUAGAUUUGAUCACCAUGGGUUAUGUAAAAUAUAAAUUUUCCUUUAUAUGCAUACUAUGAUUUAGUA